CGCGAAUCGCCCUUGGGGUGCAGCAGGCGCGAAAACUUUGCAAUGCGGGAAACCGUGACAAGGGAACUCUGAGUGCCCGUUAAAUCGGGCUGUCCAUCGGUUUAAAUAACCGGUGAAGAAAGGGCCGGGCAAGACCGGUGCCAGCCGCCGCGGUAAUACCGGCGGCUCGAGUGGUGGCCACUAUUACUGGGCUUAAAGCGUUCGUAGCUGGUUUGUUAAGUCUCUGGGGAAACCUUCCGGCUUAACCGGAAGGCGUCUCAGGGAUACUGGCAAACUAGGGACCGGGAGAGGUGAGAGGUACUCCAGGGGUAGGAGUGAAAUCCUGUAAUCCUUGGGGGACCACCUGUGGCGAAGGCGUCUCACCAGAACGGCUCCAACAGUGAGGGACGAAAGCUGGGGGAGCAAACCGGAUUAGAUACCCGGGUAGUCCCAGCUGUAAACGAUGCGCGUUAGGUGUAUCGGUGACCACGAGUCACCGAGGUGCCGAAGAGAAAUCGUGAAACGUGCCGCCUGGGAAGUACGGUCGCAAGGCUGAAACUUAAAGGAAUUGGCGGGGGAGCAC
rnacentral:rRNA from 1 species